rnacentral:rRNA from 1 species
GAUGAACGCUGGCGGCGUGCCUAAUACAUGCAAGUCGAGCGAACAGACGAGGAGCUUGCUCCUCUGACGUUAGCGGCGGACGGGUGAGUAACACGUGGAUAGCCUACCUAUAAGACUGGGAUAACUUCGGGAAACCGGAGCUAAUACCGGAUAAUAUAUUGAACCGCAUGGUUCAAUAGUGAAAGACGGUUUUGCUGUCACUUAUAGAUGGAUCCGCGCCGCAUUAGCUAGUUGGUAAGGUAACGGCUUACCAAGGCAACGAUGCGUAGCCGACCUGAGAGGGUGAUCGGCCACACUGGAACUGAGACACGGUCCAGACUCCUACGGGAGGCAGCAGUAGGGAAUCUUCCGCAAUGGGCGAAAGCCUGACGGAGCAACACCGCGUGAGUGAUGAAGGUCUUCGGAUCGUAAAACUCUGUUAUUAGGGAAGAACAAAUGUGUAAGUAACUAUGCACGUCUUGACGGUACCUAAUCAGAAAGCCACGGCUAACUACGUG